rnacentral:rRNA from 1 species
UGGGGAAUCUUGCGCAAUGGGCGAAAGCCUGACGCAGCGACGCCGCGUGCGGGAAGAAGGCCUUCGGGUUGUAAACCGCUUUCAGGAGGGACGAAGCCACUCGGGUUAAUAGCCCAGAGGGUGACGGUACCUCCAGAAGAAGCCCCGGCUAACUACGUGCCAGCAGCCGCGGUAAUACGUAGGGGGCAAGCGUUGUCCGGAUUCAUUGGGCGUAAAGCGCGUGUAGGCGGCCAGGUAGGUCCGGUGUGAAAACUCGAGGCUCAACCUCGAGAGGUCAUCGGAAACCAUCUGGCUAGAGUCCGGAAGAGGAGAGUGGAAUUCCCGGUGUAGCGGUGAAAUGCGCAGAUAUCGGGAAGAACACCCAUGGCGAAGGCAGCUCUCUGGGACGGUACUGACGCUGAGACGCGAAAGCGUGGUGAGCGAACAGG